UAUAUCUGUUAAGUUUUUGGUUUUAAAUUCUCCGUUUAAUUUUGGCCAUAAAUGUGUGAAAUUCGAUCAAAAUUCUAAAAUAAUAUAAUUUAUUGGUCAAGUAUUGUUAAGUCUCAAUAAUCAUGUUUUGCUUGUCUUAAGUCCACUCAGUAUUGCUUACUCCAUCUUAUGAUCGAACAAUGAACCUCGAUAAAUAGUCGUUUAUAAUAAUUUAAGAACGAAGAAGAAGUAUGUGUCUUCACAGAGCAUAAAAUAAAAAUAAAACAACUCCAUGAGGUCAUAAUAACCGGCCAUCAUCUGGACUUGAAUUUCCAUCAUAAUAUAAUCAAACUUUCGCAACCAUGCAGUGUGGCAGGACUGCAUCAUCACAACAACGACAUGUUGAGAGAAUCGCAAGAGGGCGAGAAAUGCGCAGGCAAUCUGCUUCGAUGGUAAGUAAUUAAAUA